GCUGGAUAUGCUCUUUUUGUUGCAGUUUAUGCUGGACUAGAAAUCCUUGCAAUACCUGCCAUUCCGUUGACCAUGUCGGCUGGUCUUCUAUUUGGCACUGUCACUGGGACCAUCAUUGUUUCCAUUGGUGGAACGGUGGCGGCAAGUGUUGCAUUCUUGAUUGCCAGAUAUUUUGCUCGGGAACGUAUUCUUAAGUUGGUCGAAGGGAACAAGAAAUUUCUUGCAAUAGACAAAGCAAUUGGAGAAAAUGGUUUCAAAGUUGUGACUCUUCUCCGUUUGAGCCCCUUGCUUCCAUUUUCUCUCGGGAAUUACCUUUAUGGUCUUACUUCAGUCGAGUUUGUACCAUAUGUACUAGGAAGUUGGCUAGGAAUGCUUCCUGGAUCAUGGGCGUAUGUGAGUGCAGGUGCAUUUGGC
rnacentral:misc_RNA from 1 species